AAUAUUAUAAAGAUACACUUUUUAUCACUAUGAGCUCCGUGUGGGCAGGCAUCUAAAAAUUUUUGUGCAUCUUGAUGCUGACUUAAGUUCCUUACUUUUCCUGAUGAGAAGGCGGCAUAAUGCACCCCUUAUUCCUUCGAAAUUAGGAAUAUGCAGCCUUCGAAACAUAUGUCGAAAA